GGACCAAUUCGGUUGUCAGGGGGGACCUUGGAGGGCAGAGGACCAGCCUGGGAGCUCAGCAGGCUCCCCUGGCCCGAGUGGUCGGGGCAAUCAACCUCUCCACGCCUCUCCUGAUCUCCCCAGCUUCAGGGGUGCCCAUCCUGUCUGGCCUCCACUUCUCCUUCCCCCGCAGUCCCCCUUCAUCCUACCAGUUCACUUUGGGGUUCCUCGCGUCUUCUUGGGCAUCAGAGUCCCCCACCAGCGGUUGGCAGGUGCCCUAGUUGUGGGGAGACGCUAACUCUUCGUCUUCCCACACAGUCAUCUUGACUCCGCCUCUCUAAACAAACUCUUACAUAGAGUCCUUUAUAGUCUUAUAUAUAAUGUAUAUAUGAAUGACAAAAGUAGUAUUUGAUUAGGAUAAUGUUACUGUACAAAUUCAAUUUUAUGACGUUAACUUAUGAAAGCAAUCCGAAGAGUGAGGCUGCUCCUCCAACAUUUGGAAUCAGGUUAGGGUUGGUCAUUGCUCCCUUAUUUUAGCCAAGUAUUCAGAUGUUUCUGUUAUUAAUAUUUGUAGAAAGUUCAAAUAUGUGCACAGACAUAGAAAAAUAAAUUUUAUUAUGAGUUUAUGUACAACUGAGUUAACCUGGUAACACAAGUUAUUGUGUUAGAUGGUCUCUUUUGAAUUUAGAUUUAUAAAACAGUUGUUAAAAUAUUUUAUAAAACCACAGCAAUCAAUACUGUAUGGCAUUGCUCAGGAAAAUAAACAGAUCACUGGAAUAGACUAGGUGGCCUAGAAAUAGAUCAAGAUAUUUGGGACAAAGAUGAUAUUUCAGUUGGGUGAGAAAACAGGAUUGAUUUAAUAAAUGGUACUAGCAGUCUCAACACAUGCAAAAGUAAGUUCCAGAUGAAUUAAUGAUUUAACUAUAAAAGAUAGAAAUUAGACGUUUUAUAGAAUAUGUUAACUAAGGCUUGGGAAGCAGCAACACCACAGCUAUAACGUAAAACAAAUAUAUUUGAAAUGUAAGAAUUAAAAAAUUAUAUGUGGGAAAAAAUGGGUCAUAAACAAAGAUAAAAGACAAAUGCUAGGUUGAUGUAUAAGUUAGUACUUAGUCUGGAAACAAAUUGCUUUAAGUAUUUCAAGUAGGAAGAGGUUUUAUACAAGAAAUGAGAUGUUCACUAAACUCUCAGAAAGACUGAGGGAACAAGUCAGGAGAAAUCGUUGCUGGCUUUUAGAAAAUCCGGUAAUGCAGGAACUUCAGGGAAAGCCCCUGCCAGUAAUCUCUGCAGAAUGCAGGAUGUCACCUGGAAGCAGCUACAGGCCAUUUCUGCCAAGUGUCAACAUGUUAGAAUGAAAUAAAGGCUGCUUGCUUUCUUCACCUUUUCUAGUUUCAGUGAGAGUGCCUCUCAUUGGUGGAAGUUAAACCAGGACCCUGUUGACACAGGAAUCUGGUCAGUGGAGUUUCUAGUCUUUUAGUACCUUUGGGAGAUUUAGAAAAGCAAGAAAGGUGCUGAAUAUUCCUACUCUGCUGACAGAAAUAGGAGUUGUCAUGGCCUUUUUUGUGAAGUGAUAGACAUACACACAUUAUAUAGAAUUUCACAGCCCAGAAAUUUCAGUCCAGAAAUAUAUCCUUUGGAGUAAAGCCACCCAUACGGUAAGGCCCCUACAUACGAACCUUCAAGCUGUGAACUUUCAGAGAUGCGAACAUGCAUUCGCGUGUCCAGUCACGUAAGUCAGUUCAUGUGUCUGGUGUACGUUGUCACAUGCGUACAUCCUCUGCAAGUGUGCUUUUGUGUACUUUACAGUACUGUAUAGAGUACAGUAGUACAGUAUCUUGAUUUCAAGCCCAGGAUGUCAUCUAUGACGAGAAAAAAAGUAGCUACUACCCAGACAUCACUGGAUCAUUUUUUCAAGAGGGUGGAUAGAAUUGAAUCCAGCAAGGAGCCAGAACCUGUGCCAUCAGUGUCAGGUGUGAGUGAAAUUGCAGCUUGCUCUCCGUCUCCUGCUGCUGACGAUCCUUCAGCUCUGCCACCUCCCACCUCCUCUUCCUCCUCCACUCAGUAACUCUUACUGCCUGUUCCCUCGAUGCUAGCCCCUGUAUGCCCACUGUUGUACUGUACUACUGUAUUUUUCAAGGUACUGCGCUGUAAGAUUAAAAAUGUUUUAUUUUUUGUGUUUUAUGUUAUUUGUGUGAAAAGUAUUAUAAACCUAUUAUAGUACAGUACUAUAUAGCCGACUGUGUUACUUGGGUACCUAGGCUAACUUUGUUGGACUUACAAACAAAUUGGACUUAAUGAAUGCGCUCUUGGAACGGAACUCGUUCAUAUGUAGGGACUUACUGUGUAUAAAAAUAUUUGCAAAAUUGACUAAAUGUUCAUCCAGUUCCUGUUAGGGCACACAGGAAGACUGCAUUUCCCAGCCUCCCUUGCAAUUAGGUUGGGACCUCAUGAUUGGGUUGUAGCCAGUGGAAUCUGGGCAGAAGUGUCCUAACAUACAUCCAGUCUUUGUCAUAAACCUUUCCUUGUCUUCCAAGCUCUCUCCCGUGUUGACUGCUGGAAACGAAGAAAUCUGAGAUAGGGAAACCAUAAGAUGGAGCCCCAGAAUCACGAUUGGAGGCAAACUCAUAGUAACAGCCUGACUUGCACCAGACAGUGAUGUGAGCUAGAAACAAACUCUUGUGGUAAGCUGGUGAGAUUUUUAGAGUGUUCAUUAACAACAGCAAGUGAGCAUAAACUUGAAUAGCACAAGAUAUUUGUAUGAAGAUUUUUAUUGUAGCAUUUCCCCAAGCGGUGAAAAGUAAAAUAAAGGGAGCAGUGACUGUCAAUAAAGAAAUGGUUGAAUAAAUUCAUCAUAUCUAUGUUACAGCAUAUCAUAUACCUGCCGUUAUCAAUAUGUAUUAACAAUACAUUUGCUAUUAUCAACACAUAUUGUUGUUUCAUAAAACUGGAAAAUGCACUCAAUAUAUAUUUGAAUUCUUAAUGGAAAAUUAAGGAAAGAUGUUUACCAUGUUGUAAGCAUUGAUGGAGAGGGUAUCUGGAGAGGGAGAGGAAGAGCAGUUAAAAAAAUUUUUUUCAAAUCCAUAAUGCAUUAUAAGAAAAUAUGUAUCAUUGUUUUUAAGAAAUACUUGAUAAAAAUGUUUGCUUUU
ensembl:lncRNA